AUUGAACGCUGGCGGCAGGCCUAACACAUGCAAGUCGAGCGGAUGAAGGGAGCUUGCUCCUGGAUUCAGCGGCGGACGGGUGAGUAAUGCCUAGGAAUCUGCCUGGUAGUGGGGGAUAACGUCCGGAAACGGGCGCUAAUACCGCAUACGUCCUGAGGGAGAAAGUGGGGGAUCUUCGGACCUCACGCUAUCAGAUGAGCCUAGGUCGGAUUAGCUAGUUGGUGGGGUAAAGGCCUACCAAGGCGACGAUCCGUAACUGGUCUGAGAGGAUGAUCAGUCACACUGGAACUGAGACACGGUCCAGACUCCUGCGGGAGGCAGCAGUGGGGAAUAUUGGACAAUGGGCGAAAGCCUGAUCCAGCCAUGCCGCGUGUGUGAAGAAGGUCUUCGGAUUGUAAAGCACUUUAAGUUGGGAGGAAGGGCAGUAAGUUAAUACCUUGCUGUUUUGACGUUACCAACAGAAGAAGCACCGGCUAACUUCGU
rnacentral:rRNA from 1 species